rnacentral:rRNA from 1 species
AUUGAACGCUAGCGGGAUGCUUUACACAUGCAAGUCGAACGGCAGCGCGGACUUCGGUCUGGCGGCGAGUGGCGAACGGGUGAGUAAUGUAUCGGAACGUGCCCAGUAGCGGGGGAUAACUACGCGAAAGCGUAGCUAAUACCGCAUACGCCCUACGGGGGAAAGCAGGGGAUCGUAAGACCUUGCACUAUUGGAGCGGCCGAUAUCGGAUUAGCUAGUUGGUGAGGUAAAGGCUCACCAAGGCGACGAUCCGUAGCUGGUUUGAGAGGACGACCAGCCACACUGGGACUGAGACACGGCCCAGACUCCUACGGGAGGCAGCAGUGGGGAAUUUUGGACAAUGGGGGCAACCCUGAUCCAGCCAUCCCGCGUGUGCGAUGAAGGCCUUCGGGUUGUAAAGCACUUUUGGCAGGGAAGAAACGUCGCGGGCUAAUACCCCGUGGAACUGACGGUACCUGCAGAAUAAGCACCGGCUAACUACGUG